rnacentral:tRNA from 2 species
UUAACUAAAGUAUUAAAUUAUUAAUUUAAAUUAAAAUACAUCUUUUCUAUUAAU